AUUGAACGCUGGCGGCAGGCUUAACACAUGCAAGUCGAGCGGGGUGAUGUGCUUCGGUACUGAUCCUAGCGGCGGACGGGUGAGUAAUGCUUAGGAAUCUGCCAUUUAGUGGGGGACAACAUUCCGAAAGGAAUGCUAAUACCGCAUACGUCCUACGGGAGAAAGCAGGGGCUCUUCGGACCUUGCGCUAAAUGAUGAGCCUAAGUCGGAUUAGCUAGUUGGUAGGGUAAAGGCCUACCAAGGCGACUAUCUGUAGCGGGUCUGAGAGGAUGAGACGCCACACUAGGACUGAGACACGGCACAGACUCGGUCGGGAGGCAGCAGUGGGGAAUAUUGGGCAAUGGGCGGAAGCUUGAUCCAGCCAUUCCGCGUGUGUUAAGAAGGCCUUUUGGUUGUAAAGCACUUGAAGCGAGGAGGAGGCUACGGGGAUUAAUACUCUGGGAUAGUGGACGUUACUCGAAGAAUAAGCACCGGCUAACUCUGUGCCAGCCGCCGCGGUAACAC
rnacentral:rRNA from 1 species